rnacentral:rRNA from 1 species
AACGAACGCUGGCGGCAGGCUUAACACAUGCAAGUCGAACGCCCCGCAAGGGGAGUGGCAGACGGGUGAGUAACGCGUGGGAAUCUACCUAGUUCUACGAAACAACUGAGGGAAACUUCAGCUAAUACCGUAUACGCCCUACGGGGGAAAGAUUUAUCGGAAUUAGAUGAGCCCGCGUAAGAUUAGCUAGUUGGUGGGGUAAUGGCCUACCAAGGCGACGAUCUUUAGCUGGUCUGAGAGGAUGAUCAGCCACACUGGGACUGAGACACGGCCCAGACUCCUACGGGAGGCAGCAGUGGGGAAUAUUGGACAAUGGGCGCAAGCCUGAUCCAGCCAUGCCGCGUGAGUGAUGAAGGCCUUAGGGUUGUAAAGCUCUUUCAGUGGGGAAGAUAAUGACGGUACCCACAGAAGAAGCCCCGGCUAACUUCGUGCCAGCCGCCGCAGUAAUAC